rnacentral:rRNA from 1 species
CGACCCCUAAGGUGAGGCCGAAAGGCGUAAUCGAUGGGAAACGGGUUAAUAUUCCCGUACUUCUGACUAUUGCGAUGGGGGGACGGAGAAGGCUAGGUGGGCCAGGCGACGGUUGUCCUGGUUCAAGUGCGUAGGCUUGAGAGUUAGGUAAAUCCGGCUCUCUCUAAGGCUGAGACACGACGUCGAGCUACUACGGUAGUGAAGUCAUUGAUGCCAUGCUUCCAGGAAAAGCCUCUAAGCUUCAGAUAGUCAGGAAUCGUACCCCAAACCGACACAGGUGGUCGGGUA